GAAAUGUAAGUGAUUUUGCUUAGUGAAGAAGGAGAAGGGGAUAUACUAAACUUGAGGGUUAAAAGCAGGCAUUUGUGUUUUAAAGGGGAAGAAAGGUAUGAUUUGUGGUAGUGGGGGGUUUUUUUCUUUAUGGAAGUCGACAGAAAAUACCAACUUUGUGUUUAAGUUUCCGAUUAUUGAAGAACGCGCAAGCUUUUCUUUUGCCUUUGCUUU
rnacentral:lncRNA from 1 species